UACGGGGGGGGUAAGCGUUGUUCGGAAUUACUGGGCGUAAAGGGCUCGUAGGCGGCCAACUAAGUCGGACGUGAAAUCCCUCAGCUUAACUGGGGAACUGCGUGUGAUACUGGAUGGCUUGGAUUUGGGAGAGGGAUGCGGAAUUCCAGGUGUAGCGGUGAAAUGCGUAGAUAUCUGGAGGAACACCGGUGGCGAAGGCGGCCUUCUGGACAGUGACUGACGCUGAGACGCGAAAGCGUGGGAGGCAACAGG
rnacentral:rRNA from 1 species